UCUUGUUGCAAAAAUGAGUUUGACCUUGAGAACAACACUCAGUGAGACCGAAAGCCUGGUUGUUUGAAAUGGUUUGGUUUUUGGCUUCUUAAGCAGCAAGAUCUCUCAACUCUGUCCGUGUGAUGAGGAUGGGAAAACCCACAGGUGGGUCUGCAACGAGAUCACUGAAGUAAAACCAAGCCACGAGAUCUGGAUUUGUUUCUCCUUUGCCAUCUGCUGCGUGAACACUCUGCAGAGGGCUUAGCAGGGUCAGAAGUCCGUCAUAAACAGGGAUUUCCCUUGGUGCAAGGACAACACAAAGGCACCUGUCAGCGAGAGACUACACAUGGUGAGCCAUAAGCCAGACUCCGAGUUUCUAGCUCAAGUGGUCACUUGGGUGGACAGCUGCUGGCUGACCAUGUUUGAACACUGUCACCCACAGCUCCCGAGUACUACCUGAUAAGGCAUGGCAGACUCUACAGAAUUUACUGGAACACUACUACUGCCCACUGGGCUAUUUAUGGAGUUAUUUUGCAGUGAUAAAGGUUGGCUUCCCUGGAACAUGAUGUCACAAGAGCCAUUGGGAUCACCUAGCAACGGAACACAGCAACAUGUCCAGCUCCUAUUUAUAACCAGCUUGCUGGCCAUGCCAAGCUGAGCGGUUAGAUCAACCAGAGAGCACAGGGUUAUUUGACUCUUCUGGAAGCCACAGCUGUUACUAGAGCUGACAGAGGGUGCCGGAGCCCAAACUCUCAGCUGUCACACUUGGUCCUAAGUGUGUUCCACAGAACGGCCAGUUUGCUCACAACACCGCAGAGCAUGGUUGCCUAGAAAAGCGGGCUAUCCCAGGCACACUGUCCCCGGCAGAUGACCAAGGAAGGAGCCCAGAUGUCUCAAGGAUAAUCCGGGGAGACGAACACCACCUUCAGCAGGCUCCGUAAACCGGACAAUGUGCACAGCCUACUAAGGCCUGCCGCCCCGGUGGAGCGAGACACCAAGUGGACAAGGGCGCCACCUACAGAUGAUUCUGGGAAAUGCCGUCGCUGCCUUCAGACCCUGCAGCAACCUCGCACUGGGGUGUGGCGGCGGCCUGAGGCUCCCAUCCGCAUCCGCAAGCUGGUUGGUCCCCGCAGGGCGCCCAGGGACAUGCUGUGCCACACCUGCCCGCAGCGGCCAGCCAAGGGAAUCAGAAAGCAGGCCUGCACGCCUCCGCGGGGAGUUGAUGAUCUGCAGGGACCGAAUCUCCGCAAGUCACCCGCAACCCAGCUCAGACCGGCAGUCUAAAAAAGGUACUUCCUGGUGGCGGGAGUGUGACUCAGUUUCCCGGUGACUCAGCGCCACGAGUGUGCGGUGGUGCGGGUGUGCACGGCUAUUCCGGGUGAGGCGGUGGAUCGGCCUCCCUCGCGGGCCCGCGCAGCUCAGGAAGCGCAAGUGGGGUGCGAGAGGAAGCGCUCCCCACGCGGGGGCUGCGGGGAGGUGACUCAGCCGCGCCGCUCCGCCAUGAGCCCCUAUGCAAAUGUGCGCAAACCACCGGGUCCCAGCGCGCGCUUGUCCCUGUGCUAGCAAAAUGCAAGCACUCACUUCCCAACAUCCUGCUUAAGUGGGCGCCGGAGACUUGGUCCCCGGGACACACUCCCGAGGCAGGUUCACGCAUGCGACCGAUUCCCCGCAGGGAUUGCGGACCCACGCCCUAUAGACCUGCUCUUCUCAGACAAGAUGUCUUCCUGUAUCCCUGGAGUUGGACGCAAACUCACAGACCUGACUAGCUGGCCCAGCCGUCCUGUUCAUGGGACACAGUUACAACUUACAUCAAAGGUUCAUUGAGUUCUGAGGGCAGUGAGCUCCAGGUAUGAGGACCAACAAGGAGCUGGUGAGAGCUGGGUUCACAGCGCACCAAACUGGCAACAGUACAUGGAGCUCAGGAAGGAAAUAUGCCACCUCCCCUCCACCUUACAAAGUGUGCAAGUGUAAGGGCAACCCAGAGCGCGUUUCCCACGGCCUCGGAGUCUAAACAUCCAUCCUUAAAUCUCUGAAUGGAGCUGCCAAGUAACAGACACCAGGUCUCUGAGAGGAGCAAGGGCUGUUUCCCAUUGCAAUUCAAAGCCCAGAACGACCCUUCCACACUGCCAGAAACAGGAAUUUAGUGUAAGUAACACCGGCACCAACGCUACAUAGACAGAAAAAAAAAUUGUUUUCUAGAAGUUAUGUAGGAUGGGGAGAAAUUUUCCCCCUAAUGUCUAUAAAAAUAACUUUACCUUGCUGGUGUGGCUCGCUGUGAUGUUUAGGAAGGAAAUGAAAGGAACCUGAGACGCCUAAGUUCAUGGGAAAGUGGGUAUCUUUCAGUGUGUGACCGUUCAACACUCUGUAUGUGUGGCUUGGAUCCAUGUGACCCUAAGGAGGGGGUAGGUGGAUUUUACUACUGUGUAAACUAAAAGGAUACUGAACGAACAUUAGAUUAAUUGAUGACACCCACACAUCCACAGCAUGUGAAAUUUUCUUCCCUGAAGCCAACAGAAGAGCCCCAAAUGCAGCUAAGGUGGUCACAAAAAGGAGGACAAGGACCUCAGAGCAUCACUUGAAGACAGAUGUCCCAGAUCUGGAGACAACAAAACCCCCACACUGAAAAGCCGCUUUGGGGGCAACUGAACAAUUGUGGUAAGGUGGUCUUAAGUCCAAGAAAGUGAAAUGCAGGUUUGCACCAUGGGAAUUAAAUCACAGCGUCUGCAAUCCGAGUACGAGUGAGGUCAAACAAUGGGAUCGUAGUCAAAGUAAUUUCGACAAACCUGCCUGUAAAAAUAAAAUGCAGAAAAAUGGUCCAGGCCUGGCGUGGAGGAAGAGUUGCUGUGUGAUUCUCAGUUGUGGUGGCACGGAAGCAGGCAAGUACUUGAUUUCAUUUCCAGUGCAGCCCUCAGGCCUACCCCUUCCUGUUGUGUAGCUACAUUUUUAAUUCUGGUCUAAUUUUCACGUCUGGCAAGUUGUGAGUUUGUUCUACAAGGACUUGAUUUUCCACAGAGCCCUGUGAAGGGCAGGGUGUUGUUUCUUCCUACUUCUCCUCGUGCCUGGAACAUGGCAAGCGUGCGGGACGUAAAGGAUGGAUAAGCGAAUGGAAGAACAGAUGGACGAAUGGGCAAUGGGUGGGCGCAGGUGUGGGCAGGUGGGUAAUAGAAGCCUGGGUGGGUGGGCAAGUGGAUGGGUGGGUGAAUGGGCAGGUGGGUGGAUAAGAGCCCAGGAAACAGAUGGGAGCCAAAAGUGGAGGAAUGCUAGAUGAGGGAAUAUGGGCUGAUCUUCCUCCUCUUCCUCUUCCUCCUCCUCCUCCUUCUUCUUCUCUUCCUCCCCCUCCUCCUCCCCCUCCUCCUCCUCCUUCCUCUUCCACUCCUCCUCUUCUUCCUCCUCCUCCUCCUCCUCUUCCUUCCUGUAAAUUCCUCCUGGCAUAUGAUUUUGGUUUGGGAAAAAAAACUUCAAAUAAAAACGACCCAAAUCAUGCGA